rnacentral:rRNA from 1 species
AUUGAACGCUGGCGGCAUGCUUUACACAUGCCAGUCGAACGGCAGCACGGGCUUCGGCCUGGUGGCGAGUGGCGAACGGGUGAGUAAUAUAUCGGAACGUACCCAGAAGUGGGGGAUAACGUAGCGAAAGUUACGCUAAUACCGCAUACGAUCUAUGGAUGAAAGCAGGGGACCGCAAGGCCUUGUGCUCCUGGAGCGGCCGAUAUCUGAUUAGCUAGUUGGUGAGGUAAAGGCUCACCAAGGCGACGAUCAGUAGCUGGUCUGAGAGGACGACCAGCCACACUGGAACUGAGACACGGUCCAGACUCCUACGGGAGGCAGCAGUGGGGAAUUUUGGACAAUGGGCGCAAGCCUGAUCCAACAAUGCCGCGUGAGUGAAGAAGGCCUUCGGGUUGUAAAGCUCUUUUGUCAGGGAAGAAACGGUAGAGGCUAAGAUCCUUUGCUAAUGACGGUACCUGAAGAAUAAGCACCGGCUAACUACGU